CAAAUUCUAAAGUUAAUGAUUAUUUGCACCAAAAAAAUGUUUAUCAGAGUGAACAUCAAAUAUGUUGUCUUUGUAGCAUAUUCAACUGAAUAUGGCUUGAAAAUGAUUUGCAAAUCAUUGUAUUCUGUUUAUAUUUACAUCUAACACCAUUUCCCAACUCAUAUGGAAACGGGGUUUGUACUUAAUUUAAUAAUUAUUUACAUUUAUGAAAGAGUAAUUCUGUUUGUAAUUGAAUUUUUAGUCAAGUAACGACUAUUAUUAUUCCUUUUUAAAACAGAUAUUCCAAACAUUGUUAAUUGAUAAACUGUUUUAUCAGGAUAUGGUGUAUUUGCUCUUGCAUCAAUUUAAAAAGGUUCUUUUGUGGUCGAGUACCGAGGGAAGGUCAUCUCAAGACAUGAGCGGGACAAGAGACAGAAACCCUCUAUAAAUAUCUUUACUAUUUAUCUGGCAUUAUAUGCUCAUAAUGUUAACAACAAAAAGUGCUGAUAAUGUUAUAAUUAAUAAGUUCUAACAUUAUUUUUAUGUGUUUUGUUGCAGACACCAACUGUUGAUGUUGUAUCUCAACAUUCUCCAGAUUCAUGUGAGCGAUAAACCGACUUCAUCCCUCCAACAGACACCAACUGUUGGGGUUCUAUCUCAACAUUCUCCAGAUUCAGAUGUGAGCGAUAAACCGACUUCAUCCCUCCAACAGAAACCAACUGUUGAGGUUCCAUCUCAACAUUCUCCGGAUUCAGAUGUGAGCCAUUAACUGACUUCAUCCCUCCAACAGAAACCAACUGUUUGAGGUUCUAUCUCAACAUUCUCUAGAUUCAGAUGACAGCCAUAAACCGACUUCAUCCCUCCAACAGAAACCAACUGUUGAGGUUCCAUCUCAACAUUCUCCGGAUUCAGAUGUGAGCCAUUAACUGACUUCAUCCCUCCAACAGAAACCAACUGUUUGAGGUUCUAUCUCAACAUUCUCUAGAUUCAGAUGACAGCCAUAAACCGACUUCAUCCCUCCAACAGAUUGACAGCAGGACAAAUCGCUGGAAGUGGGUAUGUCUCAAGCUUCUUCCACUUGGUCCACUCCAAAGCGGGCUGCAAAGGGGAAGAAGUGGAAGCAGUUGAAUGACACAUGUUGCAUUUUGUAACUGGCAACAAAGUACCAGGUAAAAAAGAUUGUGAAGCCUGCCUCCAUAAAGAACUAGUAGCUCUACAGGACAGAGAUUGGCUUGCCAUCAAGUACUACAUCCAUAACAGAAUUAUAUUAAAAAAAGGGAAAAAAAAUGUUUUCCCACAUCUUCUGUGGUAGUUUGAGUAUGUUACCAGCAAUUAAAAAAGCAAAAUAAACAGCAA